AUUGAACGCUGGCGGCAUGCCUUACACAUGCAAGUCGAACGGCAGCACGGGAGCAAUCCUGGUGGCGAGUGGCGAACGGGUGAGUAAUACAUCGGAACGUGCCCAAUCGUGGGGGAUAACGCAGCGAAAGCUGUGCUAAUAUCGCAUAAGAUCUACGGAUGAAAGCAGGGGACCGCAAGGCCUUGCGCGAAUGGAGCGGC
rnacentral:rRNA from 1 species